UCAACAGUUUGAAAUUUGGCACACUGUGCCUGGAGCACUCUAGCGCCACCAAUGGGUCAAAGUUGGAAAUGCGUUCAUGCAUGUAACAUUUUCAACUGUAUAACUGAAUGCCCAAAAUGAAGCACCCUUGCAUUCCUUCAAUCAAGCCAAGUGCAAUGCCAUUUCAAUUUCAACAUGGAAUUUCAACCAUAUUGGAGCUAUUAGCACAAUUCAACUCUCUGGACACAUCCUUUGUUAAUCAUUAAGACACCAACGGAAUGAUGCUUGAUAAUGGGGCUGUGUAGCUUUAUAUGAAUAAUUAAAUAUCAGUUAUUCCCAGCAGUAAUAUCUAUUAGUGCCAGCAAAACAAUAGGGGAAGUGACUAUUUAAUCCAGCCUAAGAAGAACAUAUCAUUUAGUUUAGAGUCAGUCAAAUGAUUGGAGGAGUUAGUGACACUUACAGAAACAUUCACAAACAAGGAAAGAACACCUAUGUGUUUCAAUUAAUUGCACUGCUAAAAGCAACAUUGUUACCUCCAUCAAGUUGGUUAUGUUUUCAUUCCCGUUUGUUGGUUUGUUUAUCUCAGCAGGAUCUGCAAAAACUGAAACUUGAUGAAGGGGUGAAACAUGGGCCGAGGUAGAACCCAUUAAUAGAAUGGCUUCCAUGAUUUUGCUUUGAGAUCAACUUUAUUGAUUCAGGUUAUCAUAGUUUGAAAUUGAAAAAUUAAAUUUGAAUAGUUUAGAUUUUUUGUAACAAACCAGAAUGAUGUUGCACAGAUGAUAUCACCAUUUGAUGUGCCUCUCCGAGCUGACCAAAUAGCUGGUUGAAUAUUUGAUGGCAUGGUGAUGACGGUUACAAGUCAGGGCGUGUGGGGCAGUAGCUACCACUCACAGGUAGAGUUGUCAGGGCUAACACGAAGGACAAGACAUAUCGUGUCAUGGGAUGUGUUGGCUGAAACUGGAAAUGAAAGGUGUAGGAGUGAGCCCGCUGCACGGACAGUGAGGAUGUGAGAGAACUAGCGUGUCGGACCAGUAUGUUCAUCAGCAGCACAUAGUAGGAUACAACGCACAAUAAAGAACCAUGGGUGCCAGGUUCUGGUUUAUUUUGGUUAUUGCCAAUGAAGUGGCUGCCUUCACACGUCCACACCAACCUCCACCAUGUGAAGUGGGUAAGUGAUUACUGAGUGACGAUUUUAGAUUUUUGUAACAAAAAACUGAAUAGACUGUUUUUUUAUGUUUUAAAUCUCAUCCACAGUUCUCACAUUAUAUUGUAAUAAGAUGCUUGCGUGUUUUUGAAAAAAUAACAACAGUUUGCAGAGCUUUGCCUUUGAGUGGUAAGAGAGUGGGCUUAGACUCUAUCCCCCGUAUUUGGAAGAACACUUUGAGCCACUGCGCCCAAAUGGAGUUGAUCAAAUGCUAAUGCCUUGGGCUGUGCCCCAAUUGGAAUGCCCUUACCGCCCGUGCGGAGCGUAUGCAUUUGAACAACAAAGUAUUAUAGACUGUACAAUACAUUUGGACUCUAUGCUAGCUGAGUCUGCUCUUCUCUAAAAUGCUAGCCAAAUAAAACAUAAAUGAUGUUCUAUGUGUAUUUUGUACCAAGCAGGAAAUCAUUUUGGUUGUAGCAAUUCAUUCAUGCCAGCAUAAAUAGAUACUGCUUUAAUGCUUAGUCAAGCUCUGCAAUUUUUUGCAAUUUCUCUGUAAUUACCUACAUUAAUCCACUCUGUGGUUUUUAAUUUAAAUCAUACACUAAGGAAGUAGCUCUUUGUUUUGAACAAAUAUUACAUUCACUUUUUUGUAACUAUUUUGAUUUCCUCAAGUCAU
ensembl:lncRNA